GCGGCUUCUAACGCAUGCGUGCAGCUCCCUUUACCCGGUCGCCUUCCCUCCCGGCUUUGCUAGUCAGUUGCUGCGGCCCUGGGAAGGCGGUCUUUCAAGUUAAAAGAAAAAAUUGUUCCAUGAAAAAAGUGGCCAUCUCAGCUGACAACUCAACCACCCACUAGUAGACCGAGAUAGCGAGAGCACUCAGCAUGCACCGGGAGACAAUGCAGACGACAAUAGACUUCAUAUGAAGGCCGGGCAGGAAAAUAUCUGGCUGUGGAUUAUAAAAAAAUGUUCUAAGAAUCAUAGAACGUUGGAAUUGAUAAGCCCUUAGAAAAGUCUCUCUUCCUCCCUUCUCAUCUACUCAGACUGUGAAGCUCCUAGAGGCAGAGAGGGAACACGUCUGUUUUUGCACGCCUCACCGCAGCCUGGCCUGCUUGGCACACCAGCUGUAUGUGAAUGUUUGCUGAAUGAAGAAAUGCAUGCUCAGGGCACUGCGUGGGGCCACUGGCUGGGAAACCACAUGGAAAGAUAAAAGAGGCUUUCUAGAAACACCAUGAUCCUUUGCUCCAGUCCUCCUCACUGUGGAGCUCCCCAGCCCUGACAGAUCGUUUCUAACAGAGAGGCUGUGACUGGUGAUGCAUGUGUGGAAGGACUGUGGCUUCGCUCUUGCGCAUCAUGUUCUGGCGUCCCCACGUUGUCUCUGAAUUUUUAACCACUGGAUUACUGCCUCAUUCACCACGAGAAGUACUGCCUAUUACACCCUGGCUGCAAUUAUGGACCAUGCUAAACCUGAACGUUUCAUUUAAAUAUAUACAAGGGGGGAGGGCACCUACAAAUUCAGGGCUUAUCUGUGUUAGGUGUUGUAUAUACGUGAUCACACUGAACCCUCAUGACACCUCUGUAAACUAAAAAUUAGUAUCCUUAUUUUUAAGUAGAAAUCUCAGGUUUCAAGGAACAAAAGUACGCACAGCCAGGGUUCAAGUCCAGGUCCACGUGACUCCAAGAUCAUUUUAUCUCACUAUGGCUCAGGCGAAGUGCUUACUCAGCACACGCAGAGCUUAAUUGUUCUCUCAUCCUACGAAAGGAGCAGAGACGGUAUAUUAAGUCAGCCAAAAGAGAUGGUAAUCUCUUGAAGGCAAAGGCUGAUUACUCAUCUUUUUGUGUGGCAUAGAAUAAGAAUACCUCGAUGUGUUAGAUGUAUCCUUCCAAAUGGGGUGCACGUGAGAUAAAUGUUGAUUUUUAAAAUAAAUUACACACAUACACAACACACUUUCUCAAAGCACGUGUAAGCAUCUACCUCAUUGCUAUUACAGAUUCAAAUUCCUGCAGAGAAAAUAAAAUUUACUUAUUUAAGUAAAAAGUGAAGUCAGUAAAAAGGAUGGUUUCAAUGCCAAAUGAUAAGCCAACCAAAAGGAUAAAAAACAUGGGUACUGAAUUACAUUUGCUGGUAUUUUAAGCUUUAAAGGCACAUUGGCUAAUAUUUCUGUUACACCAGGAAUAACAAGCAAGCAUAAAGCCUUUCACCGUGUAACUGACCCUAGAUGUGGUGUCCCCUCAGAGAAGAGAACAUGCAAGUACGAGAUGUUCUGCUCAUGCAAGACGGAACCUAAAUG